AGAGUUUGAUCAUGGCUCAGGACGAACGCUGGCGGCGUGCUUAACACAUGCAAGUCGAACGGAAAGGCCCUUCGGGGUACUCGAGUGGCGAACGGGUGAGUAACACGUGGGUGAUCUGCCCUGCACUCUGGGAUAAGCCUGGGAAACUGGGUCUAAUACCGGAUAGGACCGCAUGCUUCAUGGUGUGUGGUGCAAAGCUUUUGCGGUGUGGGAUGAGCCCGCGGCCUAUCAGCUUGUUGGUGGGGUAAUGGCCUACCAAGGCGACGACGGGUAGCCGGCCUGAGAGGGUGACCGGCCACACUGGGACUGAGAUACGGCCCAGACUCCUACGGGAGGCAGCAGUGGGGAAUAUUGCACAAUGGGCGCAAGCCUGAUGCAGCGACGCCGCGUGAGGGAUGACGGCCUUCGGGUUGUAAACCUCUUUCAGUAGGGACGAAGCGAAAGUGACGAUACCUACAGAAGAAGGACCGGCCAACUACGUGCCAGCAGCCGCGGUAAUACGUAGGGUCCGAGCGUUGUCCGGAAUUACUGGGCGUAAAGAGCUCGUAGGUGGUUUGUCGCGUUGUUCGUGAAAACUCACAGCUUAACUGUGGGCGUGCGGGCGAUACGGGCAGACUAGAGUACUGCAGGGGAGACUGGAAUUCCUGGUGUAGCGGUGGAAUGCGCAGAUAUCAGGAGGAACACCGGUGGCGAAGGCGGGUCUCUGGGCAGUAACUGACGCUGAGGAGCGAAAGCGUGGGGAGCGAACAGGAUUAGAUACCCCGGUAGUCCAA
rnacentral:rRNA from 1 species